GACGAACGCUGGCGGCGUGCCUAAUACAUGCAAGUGGAGCGACGAACCAGGGCUUGCCCUGGGGCAAAGCCGCGAACGGGUGAGUAACACGUGGGUAACCUGCCCUGAUGAUUGGGACAACCCGAGGAAACUCGGGCUAAUACCAAAUGUGCUCCUUGGCUCUAAGGCCAUUGAGGAAAGGUAGCUUCGGCUAACCGCAUUAGGAUGGGCCCGCGGCCCAUUAGCUUGUUGGUGAGGUAACGGCUCACCAAGGCUCCUAUGGGUAGCUGGUCUGAGAGGACGAUCAGCCACACUGGGACUGAGACACGGCCCAGACUCCUACGGGAGGCAGCAGUAAGGAAUAUUGGACAAUGGGCGCAAGCCUGAUCCAGCCAUGCCGCGUGCAGGAUGAAAGUGCUAUGCACUGUAAACUG
rnacentral:rRNA from 1 species